rnacentral:rRNA from 1 species
UAAGCGGGGGGCAAGUCUGGUGUCAGCCGCCACGGUAAUACCAGCCCCGCGAGUGGUCGGGGUGUUUAUUGGGCCUAAAGCGGCCGUAGCCGGCCCGGUAAGUCCUCCCUGAAAGCCCCAGGCUCAACCUGGGGAGCGGGAGGAUACUGCCGGGCUAGAGGGCGGGAGAGGCCGAGGGUACUCCCGGGGUAGGGGCGAAAUCCUGUAAUCCCGGGAGGACCACCAGUGGCGAAGGCGCUCGGCUGGAACGCGCCUGACGGUGAGGGCCGAAAGCCGGGGGAGCGAACCGGAUUAGAUACCCGGGUAGUCCCGGCUGUAAACGAUGCGGGCNANNNNNUANGGCGGGGNNGGGGAGAGCCCGCCUAGUACCGCAGGGAAGCCGUUAAGCUCGCCGCCUGGGGAGUACGGCCGCAAGGCUGAAACUUAAAGGAAUUGGCGGGGGAGCACACAAGGGGUGGAGCCUGCGGCUUAAUUGGAUUCAACGCCGGA